rnacentral:rRNA from 1 species
UACGGAGGAUGCGAGCGUUAUCCGGAUUUAUUGGGUUUAAAGGGUGCGUAGGCGGGAUGCCAAGUCAGCGGUAAAAAUGCGGUGCUCAACGCCGUCGAGCCGUUGAAACUGGCGUUCUUGAGUGGGCGAGAAGUAUGCGGAAUGCGUGGUGUAGCGGUGAAAUGCAUAGAUAUCACGCAGAACUCCGAUUGCGAAGGCAGCAUACCGGCGCCCUACUGACGCUGAGGCACGAAUGCGUGGGUAUCGAACAGG